AAAGGAAUUAAAAUUCCUCAUUGCACACCAGCUCUCUCUCCCUCUCUCGGCGGCAUCACGAGAUAUCACCUCCCUCUUUCUCUGCUCUUUGAUUCUAGAGACGUCCACCAAUUGAUACAGGCAAGGGAAAGCUGAAUCUGAAACUUCAGAAGCAGCACAAUUGUAUUCCAGAUGAACACUAUGUGCAGACACUGAGACAUUUAUUCCAUCAUCAUUAUCUAUGUUUUUUUUUUUUGGGGGGGGGGGG